rnacentral:rRNA from 1 species
GAUGAACGCUAGCUACAGGCUUAACACAUGCAAGUCGAGGGGCAGCAUCAUCAAAGCUUGCUUUGAUGGAUGGCGACCGGCGCACGGGUGAGUAACACGUAUCCAACCUGCCGACAACACUGGGAUAGCCUUUCGAAAGAAAGAUUAAUACCGGAUGGCAUAGUUUUCCCGCAUGGGAUAAUUAUUAAAGAAUUUCGGUUGUCGAUGGGGAUGCGUUCCAUUAGGCAGUUGGCGGGGUAACGGCCCACCAAACCUACGAUGGAUAGGGGUUCUGAGAGGAAGGUCCCCCACAUUGGAACUGAGACACGGUCCAAACUCCUACGGGAGGCAGCAGUGAGGAAUAUUGGUCAAUGGACGAGAGUCUGAACCAGCCAAGUAGCGUGAAGGAUGACUGCCCUAUGGGUUGUAAACUUCUUUAUACGGGAAUAAAGUGAGCCACGUGUGGCUUUUUGUAUGUACCGUAUGAAUAAGGAUCGGCUAACUCCGUG